rnacentral:rRNA from 1 species
ACGGGAGGCAGCAGUGGGGAAUAUUGGACAAUGGGCGCAAGCCUGAUCCAGCCAUGCCGCGUGAGUGAAGAAGGCCCUAGGGUUGUAAAGCUCUUUCAGCGGGGACGAUAAUGACGGUACCCGCAGAAGAAGCCCCGGCUAACUUCGUGCCAGCAGCCGCGGUAAUACGAAGGGGGCUAGCGUUGUUCGGAUUUACUGGGCGUAAAGCGCGCGUAGGCGGGCAUUUAAGUCAGGGGUGAAAUCCCAGGGCUCAACCCUGGAACGGCCUUUGAUACUGGAUGCCUGGAGAUCGGGAGAGGUUGGUGGAAUUCCGAGUGUAGAGGUGAAAUUCGUAGAUAUUCGGAGGAACACCAGAAGCGAAGGCGGCCAACUGGCCCGAUACUGACGCUGAGGCGCGAAAGCGUGGGGAGCAAACAGGAUUAGAUACCCUGGUA